rnacentral:rRNA from 1 species
GAUGAACGCUGGCGGCGUGCCUAAUACAUGCAAGUCGAGCGAACAGACGAGGAGCUCGCUCCUCUGACGUUAGCGGCGGACGGGUGAGUAACACGUGGAUAACCUACCUAUAAGACUGGGAUAACUUCGGGAAACCGGAGCUAAUACCGGAUAAUAUAUUGAACCGCAUGGUUCAAUAGUGAAAGACGGUUUUGCUGUCACUUAUAGAUGGAUCCGCGCCGCAUUAGCUAGUUGGUAAGGUAACGGCUUACCAAGGCAACGAUGCGUAGCCGACCUGAGAGGUGGAUCGGCACACUGGAACUGAGACACGGUCCAGACUCCUACGGGAGGCAGCAGUAGGGAAUCUUCCGCAAAGGGCGAAAGCCUGACGGAGCAACGCCGCGUGAGUGAUGAAGGUCUUCGGAUCGUAAAACUCUGUUAUUAGGGAAGAACAAAUGUGUAAGUAACUAUGCACGUCUUGACGGUACCUAAUCAGAAAGCCACGGCUAACUACGUG